rnacentral:rRNA from 1 species
AGAGUUUGAUCCUGGCUCAGAACAAACGCUGGCGGCGUGCCUAAUACAUGCAAGUCGAACGGGGAAGUAUCUUCGGAUAUUGUACUAGUGGCGUACGGGUGAGUAACACGUGGAUAAUCUUCCUUCAGGUGGGGAAUAACCAAUCGAAAGAUUGGCUAAUACCGCAUAAGACCACAAUGUCUUCGGACAAAGGGGUUAAAGCCUUCGGGCGCCAGAAGAUGAGUCUGCGUCCCAUUAGCUAGUUGGUGAGGUAAAGGCUUACCAAGGCGACGAUGGGUAGCUGGUCUGAGAGGAUGAUCAGCCACACUGGGACUGAGACACGGCCCAGACUCCUACGGGAGGCAGCAGUAGGGAAUAUUGCACAAUGGACGAAAGUCUGAUGCAGCGACGCCGCGUGAGUGAUGAAGGCCUUCGGGUUGUAAAGCUCUGUUCUCAGGGAAUAAAAAAAUGAAGGUACCUGAGGAGAAAGGACCGGCUAACUUCGUGCCAGCAGCCGCGGUAAUACGAGGGGUCCAAGCGUUGUUCGGAAUCAUUGGGCGUAAAGCGGGUGUAGGUGGCUUUGUAAGUCAGGAGUGAAAGCCCUAGGCUCAACCUAGGAAGUGCUUUUGAUACUGCGAAGCUUGAAUGUGGGAGAGGAUCGUGGAAUUCCAGGUGUAGUGGUGAAAUACGUAGAUAUCUGGAGGAACACCGGUGGCGAAGGCGGCGAUCUGGCCCAACAUUGACACUCAGACCCGAAAGUGCGGGGAUCAAACAGGAUUAGAUACCCUAGUAGUCC